AUGUGUUGCUCAAAUCUGUUCUUGCUGUUGCUAGCAGCUGUAUCUUGUGUCCACUGUGUUGAACUGAAUCAGCCUGCUUCCAGUGUUUUAAGGCCUGGUCAGGCAUUGACACUGACCUGUCAGGUAUCUGGAUAUUCACUGACUGACAGCAGCUACUGCACUCACUGGAUACGACAGGCUGCAGGAAAAGCUCUGGAAUGGAUUGGAGCGAUAUGUGGUAGCAGUAACACAUAUUACAGUGAUGAACUGAAGGGUAGAUUUCAAGUAACCAGAGACUCUUCCAGCAGCACAGUAACUCUUAAAGGACAGAAUAUGCAGACUGAGGACACAGCUGUGUAUUACUGUGCUCGAGAAUACACAGUGAUACAAACCACAAGCACUUCUGUUCAAAUCAGCUUGAAUGAAAAGAACAACAGAAAAGAUAUUUUGCGCUUUAAUGUCAAUAGCAUGAAAAGGGAUGUCACGCAUACAAUCUCAUAA